UACGGAGGGGGCUAGCGUUGUUCGGAAUUACUGGGCGUAAAGCGCACGUAGGCGGCUUUGUAAGUUAGAGGUGAAAGCCCGGGGCUCAACUCCGGAAUUGCCUUUAAGACUGCAUCGCUCGAAUUGUGGAGAGGUAAGUGGAAUUCCGAGUGUAGAGGUGAAAUUCGUAGAGAUGUGGAGGAACACCGAUGGCGAAGGCAGCCUCCUGGGCCAACACUGACGCUCAUGCACGAAAGCGUGGGGAGCAAACAGG
rnacentral:rRNA from 1 species